UUUCCGUAGGUGAACCUGCGGAAGGAUCAUUAUUGAAUGAAACACUUCUGGCUUUAUGCUGUUGUGCUGGCCCUUUAGGCAAUGUGCACACGGUUCUGGUCACUUGUUUCUUCUGUUCCACCUGUGCACUGCCUGUAGACACGCUGUGUCUAUGAUAUUUGUUAACACACAACAAUGUUAGUUGGCAUGUUAUAUAUAAUAAUAAAAUAUACAACUUUCAACAACGGAUCUCUUGGCUCUC
rnacentral:misc_RNA from 1 species